AUACUUACCUGGACGGGGUUAAUGGGCGAUCAUCAAGGUCUAUGGCCUAGGCUUGUGACCUCCGUUGCACUUAGGAGGGGUUCUCGCCUAAGGUCUCCCCAAGUGGGAGAGCCUACGUCAUAAUUUGUGGUAGUGGAGGCCUGCGUUCGAGUGGCCACCGU